rnacentral:rRNA from 1 species
AACGAACGCUGGCGGCGUGCUUAACACAUGCAAGUCGAACGCGAAAGGGACUUCGGUCCUGAGUAAAGUGGCGCACGGGUGAGUAACACGUGGAUAAUCUACCCAGUGUUCCGGGAUAACAUCUCGAAAGGGGUGCUAAUACCGGAUAAGCCCACGGGAACUUCGGUUCUUGCGGGAAAAGGUGGGGACCUUUUAGGCCUACUGUCACUGGAUGAGUCCGCGGCCCAUUAGCUAGUUGGUAGGGUAAUGGCCUACCAAGGCUCCGGUGGGUAGUGGGUCUGAGAGGAUGAUCGGCCACACUGGAACUGAGACACGGUCCAGACUCCUACGGGAGGCAGCAGUGGGGAAUUGUGCGCAAUGGGCGAAAGCCUGACGCAGCAACGCCGCGUGAGUGAUGAAGGCCUUCGGGUCGUAAAGCUCUGUCAGAGGGGAAGAACCUCCUGGGGGAUAAUAACCCUCAGGCCUGACGGUACCCUCAAAGGAAGCACCGGCUAACUCCGUGCCAGCAGCCGCCGUAACAC